GCAUCAAUGGGGUAGUGGUAACCUGGGUCGUUGCCAUCUUUAUCGUGUAAGUAGCUCCUGUCGACCCGCCGGGGGUUCGAUUCCCCCUUGAUGCA